rnacentral:lncRNA from 1 species
CUUUUUCAAAUUUCAUUGCAUUAGUAAGGGUUAUUUAUAUGCUUGACCUAUGCUCGUAGCACAUGUAUGAUAUGCUAAAAUGUUCACACAAACAUACAGGAGGGUGUCAACUAGUAUACUUGGUAAAAUCUUUGGGCAUUGCUAUCAAGGCCCUGGUUCUGCCUCACCUGAAUUUCGGCUGAUAUUUUCCCAUCCUAGUUCUUGGAAAUAAAAUAAAAUCACACAGGGAAUUCAUGGUGUUAGAAAUACCACCAAGUCUUCCCAAAAUAAAUUCAAGCCAGCAGAACUGACACAGUAUAAAUGCAUACUAUGAGGGGAAUGUGCUUAUAAGAGCACCCCCUUCUUGCUUGGUAAGAACUCUCGUAGGGAUGCAGGUGCACAUGUAACUAGAGGCAGACACUAAUUCAUGAGUAAGAGUAUUUUCAUGCAGGAUUUAUUUUCCUGCAAUUUUAUAAUCAUGCAUAAAUUUAGAACUCUUGUGGGGAUGCAGGUGCCCAUGUAACUAGAGGUGGACACUCACUCAUGAGAAGAAUAUUUUUAUACAGGAUUUAUUCUCCUGCAAUUUUAUAAUCAUGCAUAAAUAUAGAACUCUUGUGGGGAUGCAGGUCCACAUGUAACUAGAGGUGGACACUCACUCAUGAGAAGAAUAUUUUUAUACAGGAUUUACUCUCCUGCAAUUUUAUAAUCAUGCAUAAAUUUAUGUUUGAUAUCAAAAUUACAAAUCCAUGUGCUGGAUGUAUGCACAUGUUGUAGCAUCUACUGUGUAGAACACCAACUAGAUAAAAGAAACAAUUUUUAGAUGUAGAUAUACAGUACCAGCAAAUAUUGUGUAGCAACAGUUGUGCUCAAAGAUGCAAAAACACUAGGCAUUUUGUGCACGUCUCCGUGUGUGUGCGCGAGUGAGUGAGAGAGAAGAAAAGGGAGGGGGGAGGGGAGAGAGAGACCA